rnacentral:rRNA from 1 species
AUUGAACGCUGGCGGCAUGCUUUACACAUGCAAGUCGAACGGUAACAGGCCGCAAGGUGCUGACGAGUGGCGAACGGGUGAGUAAUGCAUCGGAACGUGCCCAGUCGUGGGGGAUAACGCAGCGAAAGCUGCGCUAAUACCGCAUACGAUCUAUGGAUGAAAGCGGGGGACCGUAAGGCCUCGCGCGAUUGGAGCGGCCGAUGUCAGAUUAGGUGGUUGGUGGGGUAAAGGCUCACCAAGCCAACGAUCUGUAGCUGGUCUGAGAGGACGACCAGGCACACUGGGACUGAGACAGGGCCCAGACGCCUACGGGAGGCAGCGGUGGGGAAUUUUGGACAAUGGCCGCAAGCCUGAUCCAGCAAGGCCGCGUGCAGGAAGAAGGCCUUCGGGUUGUAAACUGCUUUUGUACGGAACGAAACGGUCCUGGUUAAUACCUGGGGCUAAUGACGGUACCGUAAGAAUAAGCACCGGCUAACUACGUGCCAGCCGCCGCAGUAAAAC